rnacentral:rRNA from 1 species
UACGGAGGGUGCAAGCGUUGCUCGGAAUUACUGGGCGUAAAGCGUACGCAGGCUGCUUGCCAAGUCGGGUGUGAAAGCCCGGGGCUCAACCCCGGAAUUGCGCCCGAAACUGGCGAGCUUGAGUGCGGGAGAGGGAAGCGGAAUUCCUAGUGUAGAGGUGAAAUUCGUAGAUAUCAGGAGGAACACCGGUGGCGAAAGCGGCUUCCUGGCCCGACACUGACGCUCAUGUACGAAAGCGUGGGGAGCAAACGGG